rnacentral:rRNA from 1 species
GAUGAACGCUGGCGGCGUGCCUAACACAUGCAAGUCGAACGGGGUUAAAGAGAAAUUUUCGGAUGGAUCUUUAACUUAGUGGCGGACGGGUGAGUAACGCGUGGAUAACCUGCCUCGCACAGGGGGAUAGCAGCUGGAAACGGCUGGUAAUACCGCAUAAGACCACGGCCCUGCAUGGGGCUGAGGUAAAAGAUUUAUCGGUGCGAGAUGGAUCCGCGUCUGAUUAGCCAGUUGGCGGGGUAACGGCCCACCAAAGCGACGAUCAGUAGCCGGCCUGAGAGGGUGAACGGCCACAUUGGGACUGAGACACGGCCCAAACUCC